GCCCUGGAGCUGCAGCAGAACGCAGAGGGAAAGGGAGACGUGGUGGGGCGGCGGCUGAGCCCGGGAUUAGACUGCACCUGUCUGAGGAGGGAGUAGGAAAGAAAGAAAGGAGGGAGGGAGGGAGGGGAAUGCUCUCUAGGUGAGACAACGGACAGCUGGCAUCUGAUUGGAAAAUACCUGUUGAAAUGCUGCCAGGGAACAGCUUUGCCGUGAAAAGAUUCCUCCCGCGGCGCUUCCACCGGGGAAGGACCGCGCGGUGGUUCUGGCUCCCGUUCCUUGCCUGUUGCCGGCCUUUGGCGGUAGCUUCGCUCCCUGUGCCGGCCCUGGAGAUAGCGGCCUCCCUGGUGUCAUACCCGCGGCUGCUGUCGCUGGAGAAGCCUGUUACCAGCCUUGUAAAAGGUCACCAGCGAGGUCUCUACACGGUGUCGCUGGCGCGUGGCUCCCAAAGAUGCCGAAGUCUGUAGGUUUGCACUUCAGAGCAUUCCGUGCACGGGCGUUGGUGAACAGGGAGGGAGGACACGUGCACGAGGGAGAAGGAGGACACACGGGACAGAUUCGAUUCAUUUCGCCUUUCUCGGCUUCCCUGUUGCCUUCUGGAGCGCGUUGUCCCGCAGAGUCGCCUGCAGGCAAAGCAAACCAUAGCACCGGUAUUGAAUCAUCCAUAAACAAAUGUUCGUGAUAAAGCCAAAGUCAGUAACUCCACUAUUUGGGGAACUGGCAUGAUAAUAAAAUAUUUGAAGUUCCAAAGGUCAAUAUUUUCUAAAGCAAAUGAGUCGGAAAGGCAUUCAGAUGAAGACCUGAACGGCUUGGUAGGAAGUUUUUUAAGUGUAUGUACCAAAUGCUGUUCCAGAAUAGAUCAUUUAA